AAGAAGAAGAAGAAACCUACAGUGUCUGCAGUUCAUUAGGGCAGAGUUCAUACCAGUUUUGUGCAGGGUCCACACAGCCAAACCCAAGGGGUAAGGGUGGGCUGUCCGCUUACGGGCACCCGGAUUGGGGACGGCAGGCAAGAGGCACAGUGGGCUGAGCUGGGAACAGGAAGCAGGCACAACGGUGGAGAGCAGACAUUAAAAGAACCGCACACGUGGGGAUAAAGAUACAAGCUCUGGGAAGGGCCCACAGAAAGAAACAAAGGACCUCCUUUAGCCAGGGACGGGCUGAGCUGGAACAGUUCCACCGAGCUAGCAAGGCAGAGAAGGAUUUCACCUGCUCAGCGUCCUGGCCUCAAAAUUGUACCUCUCUCCAGCUCCAUGUGAGGUGAGGCUGUCUCUUGGAGCACUUGGAUCACACCGGUACCAAACAUGGACUUUCUCUGCACUUCUAGCCCCGUGGAUGGCCUGCGAGUGGCAUUUUCUGGGUACAACUGAGGCAUCCAGCUGGUGCUCCUUACAUGUUAGCAGAACACAUCCCACCCACUGUCCUUGAGGAGGCCAUCCAUUCCUUACUGAAGCAAUCCACUAUCCUACUGGCAGAGUUAUCAGCUCCAGGGAGCCAAGGUAAAUUGAGAGUGAAAUGUUUUUUGGAGAGCCCACAGAGACAUGUCACAGUUCUCUCUGUUUCUGGGCCUUCGAGUCAUGAGGAUCAGUCUCUGAUGUGGGACAGGGAUACAGCCACCCCUCCCAGGCAACUGGCAGCAAAACAUGAGAGGAGAACAGCAGAAAGGUGGAGCCAACCGUGGGAGAACCACACUUCUAGAGCCCAAAAAGGGCAAAAACAGUCACACAAGAACAGAAGAGCUCUUAAGAAUAGUGGGCUGGAUUCUAAAACUGGGACCCAAACACCUGGACAUUUCCCGUGUCCCUGCUGUGAUUGGCACUGGGCUGGGGGCACAGAUCUGAAGCCCACAGAACCCUGCCUUCAGGAGCUCAGAGUUGGUGGGUCCAGGAGAAGUGGAAUAAAUGAGGCAGAGUAUGAAACCCUGAGAGGGUUGGUCCUGCUGACCUCUUCAGUACCCUUCCCCUCACCCCUUGGCCUUGUACCUCACGCUCAUGGUCAAAAUGGACUAUGGUGGUUACCCAAACACACUGCCAGGUGCUCGUACCCCUGCUAUUUUCACUUCACUACUUGGAAUACUUUUCCUCCUCUUUGCCUAAUAAUCCUUCAAGCCUCAGCUAAAAUGUUACCUUCCUGCUGAAUGUUCUUUCAUUUUAUUAAAGAAAUACAGGCAUUAA